GCCCAGACUCCUACGGGAGGCAGCAGUGGGGGAUAUUGCACAAUGGGGGGAACCCUGAUGCAGCGACGCCGCGUGGGCGAGGGAGCGCCUCGGCGCGUAAAGCCCUUUCGGCGGGGGAGAACGAUGACGGUACCCGACGAAGAAGCACCGACUAAAUACGUGCCAGCAGCCGCGGUAAUACGUAUGGUGCGAGCGUUGUCCGGAUUUACUGGGCGUGAAGGGGGCGCAGACGGCAGCGCAAGCCAGGAGUGAAAGCCCGGGGCCCAACCCCGGGACUGCUCUUGGAACUGCGCGGCUGGAGUGCAGGAGGGGCAGGCGGAAUUCCUGGUGUAGCGGUGAAAUGCGUAGAUAUCAGGAGGAACACCGGUGGCGAAGGCGGCCUGCUGGACUGCGACUGACGUUGAGGCCCGAAAGCGUGGGGAGCAAACAGGAUUAGAUACCCUUGUAC
rnacentral:rRNA from 1 species